GGUCCUUCAAAUCCCACUUAAAUUCAAGAGGAGCACUUAAACAUUUUAAUCCCACUUUUGAGGAAGCAAAUGUUGUUAAUGUGGCGGUAGAGGAAGGUGUAUUAGAUGCAACUAAACAUACAGCAGUAGUUUUUAAAAAUAUUUCUCAAUCGAGUUCCUUAGGCGAAGAGGUGGGAGGCAGUUCAACCAUUUCCAAAAAUGGUCUGAAUUUGGUGGGAUAAUAAGGGAAGUGACUUAAUGCUUCCGGACCGAAAAGCGGGUGGAAAAUAAAUAAAACUUUAAGAGGCUCGGAUAAUAAAUUCAAGUCCUCUGGAAAUUCUCGAGUAUCAUUUGUUGAAUCUAAGGCUCCAUUUCUUUACCUGUAAAAACUUUUCCGUAAAAGUUUUUUAGCCUUUUCUGAGGUUUGUUUGGCUGAAAAUGAUUUUUCACUAUAAAACAUUUUACAAAACACAGGAAAAAGGAGGUCUUUUUUUGGGAAAAAUGUCUUACCCUUUUUAUUUCGGUAAGACAUUUACCAAAGUUUUCCCUCUUCACAUCCCAACAUCAGAACUUGCUAAACGCUCUCUCCUCCUUCCCCUUCCCUUCAUUGCGUCCCUGACCCAGGAUUCAUCUCUGUAUCAAAAACAACCAGCAGUAGUUUCGUUGAUAAAAAUUAAAAAAGCUCUAGUCAUUUCUAGUCUUUUCAAAAAUGAAACUCUCAACAAUUAGGUGAUUUUUUUCUCUUCUAUUUUUUCGUCUAUUUCCCUUUAGCGAUUUGUCACUUCAAGCGAAAUCAGUCGAUUCAAGUUCGAAACUCAAUUGUCAAAAUAGAUAGUGAGACAAUUAACUAUGGGAAAUAAUGAGAAAUUGAGAACCGUUUUGGAAUUAUAUGAUUUGUUUGUUUGCUUUUUAUCAAAAUGUAAUAACACUUUUGUUUUCAUAUAUUCAUUUUUCCCUCUGGUUGUUCUCCGAUAAUAAUUGAAAAGAAACCUUUUUGAAUCGAUGUGAGAUUAAAGUAGGUAGUUUUAAUUAAUUCCUGCGCUUUAAUAGAUCUAUUGAGUUGGCAAUUAGGUUUGUUUGUAUAUUUUUUUUAAAUGAAGUUUAUUUUUUGUGUAAUUGAUUAGAUGGGAUCCUGAUUAGGUUCAAUUUGUGAUAGAGUUAAUGAUUUUGUGUUUGAAUUGGGCCUUUUGAUGUGUUUGAUUUUAUGGGUAUUUGAUUUUGAACCACUUCUCUUUAUUAGAUUGUCUGUUUUAUACUACAACGCUUGAAUGGAUGUUAGCUAAGAUGGGUGAUUUGUGAUCAUCCUUAAUUUUGUAAAAUGGAUGAAAUGGCUAAUUCUUUAUUUGGUAGGAUUACUUAUUUUUAUCCCCUGCUUUGCAUUUCUUGAUUCAUGAUGAAUAGUGUUGUAUGCAUUGCCUGAUUGUAUUUUAUUGAUCUCCCAUGUAUGAGAAAUAGACAUGGAGGACUUAAUUCUUUAUGUGCUCCUCCCUGCACAAAAAAUAAGGAAGGGGAAACACUUAUGGAAUACUUUUAAAUCUGUUAGGACAAAAGAAAAUUCAAGUAGGUUAAAAGGUUAAUAUCAUGGUUUGAUUUUAUAAGACAGAUACUGAUUUCACUUUGAGUUUGAGGUCUCCAGCUUUAUCAGAUUCCUACUCCAAUAUUUGGUCUUCAGUCAGCAGAAUCAGGAAAUGGUUAAAAGGUAUGGAGUGUAUUGAUGUGAAGAGAAUAUCAUGUUGCAGUGCAUAGAUAGAUUGAAGCAUUUAUUUGCUUCAGUGCUACAAUGAUGUGAUAAUGAUUUGUACAAGCAAUCAAGAGGUCUUGUUGAUCCUAAACUUCUUGCAAGAGAGAUCGUUUUUAGUGUAAGUGAAAUAAAAGCACUUUGUGAGCUUUUCAAGAAGAUAAGCAAUGCUAUUAUAGAUGAUGGGCUGAUCAACAAGGUCUUUGUUUUUUCAUAGUUCCCAUUUUGUUAUAUAAUUGAUAUCUUUUGUUAUGUUUGUCAAGUGUUUUAGCUUUAUGAUCACUCCUCAUCUUGAGUUGGUUCUUUCUCUCUCAUCUUUGUAGUAUUCAAGUUUUAUUUAUAUUACUAUUUGACAAGAGGAGUUCCAAUUGCCGUUAUUCAAAACAAACUUACUGAUCGGGUAUUUUUAUCUAAUGUUAAUUUAUAAUGUCUCAA